UACGAAGGGGGCUAGCGUUGCUCGGAAUCACUGGGCGUAAAGCGCACGUAGGCGGACUCUUAAGUCGGUGGUGAAAUCCUGGAGCUCAACUCCAGAACUGCCUUCGAUACUGAGAGUCUUGAGUCCGGGAGAGGUGAGUGGAACUGCGAGUGUAGAGGUGAAAUUCGUAGAUAUUCGCAAGAACACCAGUGGCGAAGGCGGCUCACUGGCCCGGUACUGACGCUGAGGUGCGAAAGCGUGGGGAGCAAAGCAGG
rnacentral:rRNA from 1 species